CCCUUAGAUGUUCUGGGCUGCACGCGCGCUACACUGAUGCAUCCAACAAGUUUUUUCCUUGUUCGAGAGGACUAGGUAAUCUUAUGAGAAUGCAUCGUGAUGGGGAUAGAUUAUUGCAAUUAUUAAUCUUCAACGAGGAAUUCCUAGUAAGCGCGAGUCAUCAGCUCGUGCUGAUUACGUCCCUGCCCUUUGUACACACCGCCCGUCGCUGCAACUGAUUGGGUGACCUGGUGAACAUCUUGACCGGCCCACUCAAUUUCGAGAGGACUGGAAAAGGCCGUAAAUCAGGUACAUCUAGAAAUUGCAAAAGUCGUAACA
rnacentral:rRNA from 1 species